rnacentral:rRNA from 1 species
UGAUUACAGUUUCUUAUACUGGAUACGAACCGUGGAGGCAUCUUCUACGGUUGGAAAGAUUUUUUGGUCAGGGAUGAGCUCGCGGCCUAUCAGCUUGUUGGUGAGGUAAUGGCUCACCAAGGCGUCGACGGGUAGCCGGCCUGAGAGGGUGACCGGCCACACUGGGACUGAGACACGGCCCAGACUCCUACGGGAGGCAGCAGUGGGGAAUAUUGGACAAUGGGCGGAAGCCUGAUGCAGCAACGCCGCGUGAGGGAUGACGGCCUUCGGGUUGUAAACCUCUUUUAGCAGGGAAAAAGCGUGAGUGACGGUACCUGCAAAAAAAGCGCCGGCUAACUACGUGCCAGCAGG